GGUUGCCCUAGGCUGCUGGACUUGGUGAACUUUUAGGUAAGAAAAUUUAAACUUUGAAGACAGAAAAAAGAUAAAACGCUGCUGCUUCUCCAAGAUAAAAUAAGAAUGGCCAUGGCUUCCCGACAAUCACCUGGACUUACCUGAAACAGACUCAUUGAAUCAGGAGAAUUGGCUUCCAGGUUCUACAGCCUCUCUUCCUCCCUCCAACACGAUAACAGACUGACUUCACCUGGGCCCAUAACUCAUACCAAGGAACUAAUUCAACUGCUUCUGUGACUUCCACCCAGGAACUGACUCAACACAAGAAGACAGCUUCAACCCUCUGUAAUUUCAUCCCUGGCCCAACCAAUCAGCAUCCCCCAUUCCCUAGCCCCUUGACUGCCAAACUAUCUUUGAAAAACCCUAACCUUUGAGCUUUUGGGGAGGGUGAUUUGAGUAAUAAACUCCCAUCCUUCCACUUAACUAGCCCUGUGAUUAUUAAACUCUUUCUCUACUGCGGUACUGCUGUCUCAGUGGAUUGGUUUUAUCUGUACAGUGAGCAAACAAGAGCACCAUGGUUUCCAGAGCUGCUUCUGUUGCUCUUCCUCCCAAGGCCUAUGUUGUUAGCUAAAAGCCAUAGUCUCUCCCUGAUAUAGUUUGAAUAUAUGGCCCUGCCAAAUCUCAUGUUGAAUUGUAAUUCCCAAUGUUGAAGGUGGGGUCUGGUGAGAGGUAUUUGGGUCAUGGGGGCAGAUUGCUCAUGGCCUGGUAUUGUCCUUGUGAUAGUGAGUGAGUGCUCAUUAGAUCUGGUUGUUUGAAUGUGUGGCACACCCUACAAUCCACUCUCCCUCUUGCUCCUGCUUUUGCCCUAUGAUGUGCCUACUUCUGCUUUGCUUUCUGCCAUGAAUG
rnacentral:lncRNA from 10 species